GCAGCAACAAAGAGGUGACACAGGUGAACCAGCAUCAAUCAAUUAAAUACCGUUGCAGAUCGCGUCGUAUUCAGCUCCACUUCGCGGCUCACACAAUCACAAUCACAAACGGUUUCUUGUUCAGUUUCAGACGUCGCGUCCGCAGCGAACGGUCGCGCAUCAAAGAAACCGUAAUUGCAGGAAAUUUCAUCAUCGAGCCGCGUAUUACAGGCCGCUUUUACUUUUUCGCGUGACACCGGCUACAUUUUGUUGUUUAGUGUGACGCACGGGAGGGUUUUCUUAGUAGCACAGGAAAGAAUGCAAUAAAUUAAAAGACAAACAUUCCGAACAAUAAUUCAGCCAAGAUGACAUCGAAAUUGGUGCAGAUGCAGGUGAGUUUU
rnacentral:lncRNA from 1 species